AUGAUAACGAUAUAUUUAUAUUUUUAUAUAAAUAUUUAUUUAUUUAUUUAUUUUAAGAAUAUUGUAGAAUGCACGCUAGCAAGUCAAGUCUUGGAAACGACAUCGCAAAGUCGUAUAUAGCUAGCCUUGCAUAGGAAUAUUCAGGCGAGUUCAUAACCCCCACUUUUUACUACUGUUUUACAUUCUUUUUGUAAAUGUUUUCGGGGUGGAAAGACAUGCACAAUUUUCAGAAACAUACAAAGUUUUGAACAAACGCAAAACUCGUAUUUCUAAAUCAUAUCACGAAUGGAUUUCGAGAAACUCAAACGAUUUACGAAAGGUUUAUACUAAACAUACCGGUUUUUACAAAACAAAUGCUUAUUUUCGAAAUACGAAUGAUUUUUCAUAACUAAGGAGUCAGUCAGGGUGGCUGGGAAGGUUCAGUCAGGGUGGCUGGGAAAGUUCAGUCAGGGUGGCUGGGAAAGCUCAGUCAGGGUGGCUGGGGAGGCUCAGCCAGGGUGGCUGAGGUGGAAUAUAUGUUACAGUAAUUACGAAAAAUUUUUACAUGGUAUGGUUAACGUAAGGAGGUGUUAUACGAUCAUGUGAGUGGAUAGGAACAACAUGGGGCCAUUAGUCCUCAUGGAGGGACCGAGGGACAGGAGCGGUAGAUCUAUCUGGGUGUAGCGAGCCCAGCCCCCGGCCAAACUAGAAACGGACCGUGGGGUGACUUUGUCCACAUACUUUGCCGUGGCGAAAUCUGCUAGGUUGCAUUUCUAAAACAAGGCACGGUUGGAAUAGGAGGACCAUGAAGAGUCGAGUACUUAGUG
rnacentral:lncRNA from 1 species